GACGACGCUGGCGGCGUGGAUUAGGCAUGCAAGUCGAACGGUAGGAUCCUUUCGGGGAUCUGAGAGUGGCGAACGGGUGAGUAACACGUAGGUGAUCUACCCUCAAGACGGGGACAACCCAGGGAAACUUGGGCUAAUACCGGGAUGUGAGCUAUCGCGAGAUAGUUUGAAAGGUGGCUUCGGCUGCCGCUUGAGGAUGAGCCUGCGUCCUAUUAGCUAGUUGGUGAGGUAACGGCUCACCGAGGCAGUGAUAGGUAGGCGGCCUUAACGGGUGGUCGCCCACACUGGGAUUGAGAUACGGCCCAGACUCCUACGGGAGGCAGCAGUCGAGAAUAGUCUACAAUGGUCGAAAGACUGAUAGUGCGACGCCGCGUGAACGAAGAAGCCCUUCGGGGUGUAAAGUUCUUUUAUAUGUGAGCAGUGACACCCAUAUUAAUAGUAUGGGUGUAGAGAUAUUAGCAUAUGAAUAAGCAACGGCUAACUCCGUG
rnacentral:rRNA from 1 species